UACGGAGGAUGCGAGCGUUAUCCGGAAUUAUUGGGCGUAAAGCGUCCGUAGGUGGUUUUGCAAGUCUGCCGUCAAAGAAUGGAGCUCAACUCCAUACCGGCGGUGGAAACUGUGAGACUAGAGUACAGUAGGGGUAGCAGGAAUUCCCAGUGUAGCGGUGAAAUGCGUAGAUAUUGGGAAGAACAUCGGUGGCGAAAGCGUGCUACUGGGCUGAAACUGACACUGAGGGACGAAAGCUAGGGUAGCGAAAGGG
rnacentral:rRNA from 1 species